rnacentral:rRNA from 1 species
UACGAAGGGUGCAAACGUUGCUCGGAAUUAUUGGGCGUAAAGCGCACGUAGGCGGCUUAGCAAGUCGGAAGUGAAAUCCCUCGGCUCAACCAAGGAAGUGCUUUCGAAACUGCUGAGCUUGAGUACUUAAGAGGAUCGCGGAAUUCCCGGUGUAGAGGUGAAAUUCGUAGAUAUCGGGAGGAACACCAGUGGCGAAGGCGGCGAUCUGGGAAGAUACUGACGCUGAGGUGCGAAAGCGUGGGGAGCAAACAAG